rfam:TPA: Bos taurus chromosome 16, whole genome shotgun sequence.
UCCCUGGUGGCUCAGAGGUUAAAGCGUCUGCUCACAAUGCAGGAGACCUGGGUUCGAUCCCUGGGUUGGGAA